rnacentral:rRNA from 1 species
GCUGGCGGCAGUAGCGCGGUGGUCCCACCUGACCCCAUGCCGAACUCAGAAGUGAAACGCCGUAGCGCCGAUGGUAGUGUGGGGUCUCCCCAUGCGAGAGUAGGGAACUGCCAGAC